UACGUAGGGACCGAGCGUUGUCCGGAUUCAUUGGGCGUAAAGAGCUCGUAGGCGGCCUGCUAAGUCGAACGUGAAAUCCCUGGGCUCAACCCAGGAACUGCGUCCGAUACUGGUUGGCUUGAAUCCGGGAGAGGGACGUGGAAUUCCAGGUGUAGCGGUGAAAUGCGUAGAUAUCUGGAGGAACACCGGUGGCGAAGGCGACGUCCUGGACCGGCAUUGACGCUGAGGCGCGAAAGCUAGGGGAGCAAACGGG
rnacentral:rRNA from 1 species